rnacentral:rRNA from 1 species
GAUGAACGCUGGCGGCGUGCCUAAUACAUGCAAGUCGAGCGAACAGACGAGGAGCUUGCUCCUCUGACGUUAGCGGCGGACGGGUGAGUAACACGUGGAUAACCUACCUAUAAGACUGGGAUAACUUCGGGAAACCGGAGCUAAUACCGGAUAAUAUAUUGAACCGCAUGGUUCAAUAGUGAAAGACGGUUUUGCUGUCACUUAUAGAUGGAUCCGCGCCGCAUUAGCUAGUUGGUAAGGUAACAGCUUACCAAGGCAACGAUGCGUAGCCGACCUGAGAGGGUGAUCGGCCACACUGGAACUGAGACACGGUCCAGACUCCGACGGGAGGCAGCAGUAGGGAAUCUUCCGCAAUGGGCGAAAGCCUGACGGAGCAACGCCGCGUGAGUGAUGAAGGUCUUCGGAUCGUAAAACUCUGUUAUUAGGGAAGAACAAAUGUGUAAGUAACUAUGCACGUCUUGACGGUACCUAAUCAGAAAGCCACGGCUAACUACGUG